rnacentral:lncRNA from 1 species
UACUUUUUCAGUGCCUAUGAACUUUGUGAAUUUUCUAGAGUAAAAUGAGUCAGAGAGUAAUUCCAUCUUAUUGGCCAAAUCAUGGUAAGUAGUGAUUUUUAGUCAUAGAAGCAGCCUCAUCUUCCUCUGUCUCCUUAUUGAGAAUAGACAAUACAGGAAAAUACAGCAGUUCCAAUUGUGCUAUUCGAAAAAGAGGCUCUCAUUUGGGUACUGAUUCUGGUUUAAGAUAGGUAAUAAAUGGAAAGAACAUGGAGAAAUUGUAGCAGUUGAUGACACAUAUUAAUGAGAAAUUUUGCUGGAGAAAAUGCCUUUUUUUCCUCAUACUACAAUCUUAGGACAGGGGAAUAAUACACUUCACUUUUUCAAGGUACCUUUUUCAAGGUACCUAUAUAUGUGAUUUAGUAAAAAGCACCAAACAUCAUUUAAUCACCAUUGUAAAUAAUAUCUGCUUGAUGUUGAUUGAGGUAUUUUUUGGUUAUGCUUAUUAUGUUCAUUCUUUUACAGAGUUGAAAUUUCUACCUUUGAACCAUACAGGUCAUUUUGUUAUUGUCAGUGGUCAGCAUAUCUACUGAGUUGUUGUGAACCAGGAGACAUAUCGUUAAGGCGAUUAUCCAUGUUGAAGAGAUACACGUCGCUGCUGCUUGCUUGAUGUGGCUGCAACACCAAAACUGUUUUGACUAUUCUAGAAAUUGGAAACCUCACAGACAAAAAGAAGAAGUUAAUAUACCCUUGGAGAAUUACACUAGAGAAAAUGUGUUUAUCUUACAUUAAAGAGACGGAGUUUCACCACGUUGGCCAGGAUGGCCUCAAUCUCCUGACAUCAUUAUCUGCCCGCCUCAGCCUCCCGAAGUGCUGGGAUUACAGGCAUGAGCCACCAAGCCUGGCCUACUUCUUAAUGUUAUCUCUGAAUUUGUAUUUUUAAGUAAAUUCUGAUUGGAUAAUGCAUCAUGUGUCCGGGACUUGAAGCUGCUACUCCCUCAUUAUCCUGCCACCUGAAAUUUUGCACCUCACAGGGCGCCAGCCUUGCUGCUCUGCCCAUUGAUCUCUGCCACCCUCCAUACCUGGUGUGAGUUACCACCGGAAGUAGUCUGUGGCAGCAGCAGCCUUUGCCUUAUUCUGACAGUGCCAAAGUGGGUUUGGUGGGUGACUCAGCUCAGUUGAGCCUCUUGCCAACUCCCAACACAGGUGCAGAGUGCAUCUGAGUGUGGAGGUUGUUGACUCUUAUGACAUGAGAAGUGCAAUGUGGACAUAAAAUUGUGAAUGAUGUGACUAUUCGAACAACACAAACAGACACUGGCAAGGAUCUGUUUCGCUAACAAAGCUACACAACUGCAGCAGAAAAGCUCCAUGGAGGAAGAACUACAGUGCAAAUAAAGGUUUCCACCUGCCAAUGAUGCUAACAAAGUGGAGGAAGGGUCACAGCAGGUCCCUCAGAAACCUUCCCCAGCCGCUUUCAUGAAAUUAACACCCUUCACUAUUUUCUCUUCCAAAAAGUAAAGAUUUUCUCUUUAAUAUCUCAUGCCUCUUCCAGCUUUAUUACUCUGUGAUUAUGUGUUCAUUUUUAAGGCAUAAUAAAUAAGAAAAAAAUGAGAUUAUUUGAGUUUACUUUUUCUAAAAGUUCAUUCUAGAUGCAAUAAAUAAAGUUAGUAAAAUGCAGCAAAAAGGCUAUAUAAUAUAUAUACUCUUUAAGAAAAAAUGCUUAACAUUUUUACCCCUUUAAUUUGCUUUCAUGAGUCCAUGCAUUUUGUUGUACUUAUCAUGGCAAAAUUUAUUUGUGAAGUAUAUAUCGUAAAGUCUUGCUCUAUGGUCAACAAACUUUAGUUAACUUUUAACUUUCAACAUAACAUUAGAUAUUCACCUCUCCAUUUGUUUGGAGUUAAAUUGUCAUUGCUCAUUUGCUUUUUUAUCUAAAUUAAGAUUUUCUUUAACUCAACACAAUAAACGCCAUAUAUGCCAAGCCCACAGCUAACAUCAUACUCAACUGCGAAAAGCUGAAACAUUAUCCUCUAAGAUCAGGAAGAAGACAAAUAUGCCAACUUUCCCUUUUUCUGUUAACAUUGAAUGGGAAGUCCUAGCCUGAGAAAUGAAGUAAGAGAACAAACUACAGGCAUCUACAUUGUAAUAGAAGUUAAAUCGUCCUUGUUUGCAGACACAUGAUCUUAUAUAUAGAAAACUCUAAAGACUCCACAAAAAAACUGUUAGAACUAAUAAGCAAAUACAGUAAAGUUGCAGAAUAAAAAACAAACAAAAAUCACCUGUGUUUCUAUGCACUACAAAGAAACUGAAAAGGAAAUAAUUAAUCUAAUUUAUAGCCAUAUCAAGAAAAAUAAAGUACUUAAGGAAAAAAUUUAACAAAGAUGGUUAAAAAAAAAACCUUGUACACUGAAAACUACCCAAAACAAUCUAUGUAUUCAAUCCAUAGCUAUCAAAGUUCCAAUGACACUUUUUUAUAGAACUAGAAAAACAAUCCUAAAAUUUGUAUGAAGCCACAAAAAACUCUGACUAGCCAAAGCAAUGUUGAGCCAAAAGAACAAAGCUGAUUGCAUCACAUUGCUUAAUUUCAAAUCUAAAACAAAGCCAUAGUAAUCAGAUCAGUAUGGUACUGUUAAAAAAAUAAGACACAUAGACCAAUGGAACAGAAUAGAGGACCCAGAAAUAAUUUUAUGAAUUUACAGUUAAUUGAUUUCUGACAAAGAUUCCAG